rnacentral:rRNA from 1 species
AGUCUAUGCCAUACCACCCAGAAUGCACCCUAUCUCAUCUGCUCUCAGCAGCUAAGCAGGGUCGGGCCUGGUUAGUACUUGGAUGGGAGAAGUGCUAUGAAUAUAUAGUUGAUUGAGCUA